CAUACACUUGUUUGGUACUCCUCCCAAAGGUGGAUCUCCUGAAGCUAUGACAGAUCUCAGGUCAAUCAGUUUAUCAAUUGUGACCUCCAAAAUUAUUUCUAAAUUGAUGAAUGGUAGACUGCCAGGUUUACUUUCCAUAUUGAUAGCUCGUAAUCAAUCUGGAUUCAUCAAAGAAAAGGCAAUCAGAAAGAGUAUUAUGCUAACAUAUGAACCAUCACGCAAUAUGGGCAGGAAAAAUAAUGGAGAGAAUAUCAUAAUAAAGCUAGAUAUGUCAAAGGAAUACGACAGAGUUUCAGUAUCCUUCCUAUGCCACAUGCUAAGAAAAUUGGGUUUCUCUAAAGCUGGAUAGACCUAAUCUACAAACUGAUCUCAAACAUUUUAUACUCAAUUGCUCUAAAUGGUUCUAGGAAAGGUUUCUUUACUUCUAAUAGGGGCCUUAAGUAAGGAGAUCCGAAAUCUUCCUCCGUCUUUGUGAUUUUUUUAGAGCUCCUUUCAAGAAUGUUGAGUGGAAUUACAUCUAGUAGGAUUUCAUCUCUUAUAAAAUGAGGAAAAUGGAUCCUUGCAUUACUCAUCUUACAUACACAGAUGAUACCAUAUUAUCCAGCUCCUCUGAUCACACCUCAAUCUAGAUUAUCAACCAAUAUCUCUAAGACUAUACUAACAUCUCUGGUUAGUCCAUAAAUCUCAACACAUCUCACCUCUAUAUACAUCCUAAUGUUGGGGACACAUAGAUUGAAUAGAUCAGCCAAGUGAUUGGCUUCUCCGAUAAUCAUUUUUCCUUCAUCUACCUAGGUGCACAUAUCUAUAUAGGAAGAAAGAAGUUUGAGUAUUUUAAUGAAUGCAUCUAAGGUUAGAAACAUGAUCCAAGGAUAGAAUGGAAAACUUAUGUAUUUGGUGGCAAGGCGGUGUUAAUCAAGGCAAUUCUUAAUUCUAUUCCUAUGCAUAUCUAGAAGAUAUUAACCCUCCUAAAACUACCCUUCAACUUAUUGAGAAAUAAUGCUCCAAUUUUUUCUGGUUAAUUUUGAAGGAGGAAAUAAUCAUCACUGGUUUUCAUGGAAUGCUCUAUGCUUUGGCAAGGAAGAUGGAAGGGUAAGUUUUAGGUCUAUUCAUUAUAUAAAUAAAGCUUUUGCUGUAAAAGCUUGGUGGAAUCUAAGAACCAAAGACUCCCUCUGGAUAGAGUUUAUGGAAGCCAAAUAUUGCAAUAAGAAACACUCAGUGAAUGGCAUAUGGAAGUCUGGUCACUCACAAAUUUGGAAGAGGCUGAUGGAUAUAAAAGCACAUGAAAUGGAGGUUUAGGAAUGGCAAUAUAUUCUUUUGGUGGGACAUAUGGUCUUACCAAGGUCCCCUAGGCAAAUUAAUACAAGACUAUAGCAAAGGAUAAAAAAAAUAUUCCUUGAAUUUAUGCCGGAGGAAUCCUGGGAUAGGCACAAACUUAGUGAGGCCCUCCCUAAAAAUAUUGCAAAGGAGAUUGCAUCACUACAUGCUCCUAUAGCCACCAAGAAAGACCAUCCUUUUUGGACAAUAACCAACAGUUGUCUUUUCUCUUGCAAGUUAGCAUUGCAAGUAUUGAAUCAAAUAAAAAAUAUCACUUUAUUUGCUAGGAACAUUUGUCAUAAAAGGCUCACGUUUAAGAUCUCUUUCUUCAGGAUGAGACUGCUUCAUAAAAAGCUUCACAGAUGAUAUCAUUAGUGGAUUUGGCUUCAUUGGCCCCUCAAAUUAUUCAUGUUGCAGAGUCCCUUAACUUAAAACAGUUGAUCAUAUUUCAUAAAGAGUAAUGGUGAUUUGGCUGCAUGGAAUCUACUUGAGAGAGCAUAUGGUGUCUCCUUCACUGAGGGCUUAAGACAAACAUUGCCAAGGUGGUGGUUAGCCAGGAGCAAUAACAAGGUCUUUGCUUUUAUCCUUCUAUGCCUUCCCAAUAUUAUUUGUUGGGAAAUUUGAAAAAUAAGAUGCUCAUGUAGAUACGGUGAUGAGAUAACGUCUAUUCAGAGAUUGAUCUAUCUAGUUCAAAUGUCUAUGAUAUCUAUAAUCACCAUCCAGUUCUGAUCCCCUCACUACCUAACUUCACCAAUUGUGCUAUGUUAUGCUAUGUAUCGGAUAACAUUAAGCCUGUUCUAUAUAUCAUUCUAGUUAUAUGUCUAAAGCCACCAGGUGGUUUACUCAAACUCAACACAGAUGAUUAUAGUAAAUGCAAUCCAGGCCCGGUAGGGGAGGUGGAAUCUUGAGGAACCAUAGGGGGGCCAUGAUAAUGGAUUUCUCUAAAAACAAAUCGGUGUACUCAAAUAAAAUGGUUGAAGCUAAGGCCAUCUUCAUUGGUAUUAAUUAGUAUCUUGACAAUGGCUACAAAGGAAUUCUAAUUAAAUCAGACUCUCAAAUACUUAUUAAUGCUAUCAAAAAUCAAGCUUCAAUCCCCUGGCAAAUAUCUCAUAUAGUGGAAUAGAUUUCUGACCUAAAGCAAAAAAGGCAACUUAUAUUUUUCACAUUGCUCUAGGGAGACUAACUAUACAACUGAUCUACUAGUUAACCGAAGCCUAUAGAGAAGAUCUUCUAUAAACAGGCUGUAAAUCAUCAUCAUAAAGGCUGCAAUUCUGAAUUACUUCACCUGCGAACAGGUCAUAUGAUUUUCCAGGGCCGUUUACAUAACCGGGUACAACAUCAUUUUUCAAGGUGACAACGAAGUAGGAUUCAAACUCCCCUAGCCAAUUGCUAUUCAUCCCACAACUGUAGGUCAAAUGUCCUUUUCCAAUUUCCAUACAAAGUAUUUCUCGAGAAAUGAUUUUCUUCCUUAUUCCCACAAAAGUUGUAGUCCUAUAUAUUGAGUCCGUCUUGAUUGGACAGACUGUUUAUAUAUGAGUUGUACUUGAAAAAAAGUUGACUCAAAUUAGUGAACGAAGACAAUUUAAUCCUCAAACAAAGUUUUAUGACAUUUCACUAGCAUUUCAAGUAUGGAAUUUCAAUAUUUGCCAAUACUAAUAUCCAAAAUAUAAUUCAAUUUUUCAUUAAUUAUGACAAAACACAAAACUCGAUGUUACCCGAUGAACUUCCCACGACAUGUGCAUGUUGCAUAGUUUCAACUUUUUACAUUCACUUAAAAUACCAAAAAUGAAUUACGUAACGAACACUAUACAACAUAUAUAACAAGGGUGAAUGGAACUCAAGAGGAAUUGGAAAAUCACUACAAAGCAGUAUUAAUUGCUUACAGUGCAAGGAAACCGUGAAGAGCAAUAAAAAGCAACAUGAAGAAGGGGACGCGAUCUCCGCCACACUGUCCUUCCUAGCCAACCAAGGAACCUAUCGCCUUCAUUCUACAACAACCGUGAUCCUUCAAAAUCCCUCCUCUAAUAAAUUCUUUGAAUCCCCAUCUUCAUUAUGGAAUGACAGA
rnacentral:lncRNA from 1 species